rnacentral:rRNA from 1 species
GAAAGCGUGGGUAGCGANCAGGAUUAGAUACCCUGGUAGUCCACGCCGUAAACGAUGAGUGCUAGGUGUUAGGCCCUUUCCGGGGCUUAGUGCCGGAGCUAACGCAAUAAGCACUCCGCCUGGGGAGUACGACCGCAAGGUUGAAACUCAAAGGAAUUGACGGGGGCCCGCACAAGCGGUGGAGCAUGUGGUUUAAUUCGAAGCAACGCGAAGAACCUUACCAGGUCUUGACAUCCCGAUGCUAUUCUUAGAGAUAGGAAGUUACUUCGGUACAUCGGAGACAGGUGGUGCAUGGUUGUCGUCAGCUCGUGUCGUGAGAUGUUGGGUUAAGUCCCGCAACGAGCGCAACCCUUAUUGUUAGUUGCCAUCAUUAGGUUGGGCACUCUAGCGAGACUGCCGGUAAUAAACCGGAGGAAGGUGGGGAUGACGUCAAAUCAUCAUGCCCCUUAUGACCUGGGCUACACACGUGCUACAAUGGUCGGUACAACGAGUUGCGAGCCGGUGACGGCAAGCUAAUCUCUGAAAGCCGAUCUCAGUCCGGAUUGGAGGCUGCAACUCGCCUCCAUGAAGUCGGAAUCGCUAGUAAUCGCGGAUCAGCACGCCGCGGUGAAUACGUUCCCGGGCCUUGUACACACCGCCCGUCACACCACGAGAGUUUGUAACACCCGAAGUCGGUGAGGUAACCUUCUAGGGGCCAGCCGCCUAAGGUGGGANGGAUGAU